AGGAUUAACAAACUGAGCAGAAAAACAUUCAGACACCGUGACCACAGAGUCAAACCUUACAACAGAGCUACGCCAAAGCACCGUGUGAGUGCAGAAGCAGGGCCGCCAGGAAUAACGCACAAUACAAGACUGCAGUUCUUCCUGUGUUGAACCGUUCUUCAACAAACCAGCAACACCCGCGAGUGAGUGGCUGCCUCGUGAUUUCAGUCAUGACUUUGAGUGCAUCAGAUUUCGAUCUAGGUCACAUACCCACCACACCAGAAUGUAUCCGAAGUAGCGACGAUUCACACAUAGAUUUUGAAGAAGGUGGCAGAACACACUCUCAAAUAUCAGCGGCGUGUGGCGCUUGCAUGAACGUUGCAGACGCACAGCCUGCUGAACAGAGUCAUACAGAUCAAAUACUUGAUAAAUUACGGUCGAUUGAAGCUAAACUCGACCAACACCACCAAGCCUGUACGGCACACAUGCAAGAAAUAACCGAGGCUCUAACUGGGAUUACAAGCAAAAUGUGUACUGUAUUAGACAUGCUCACCAGAAGUCUAAUGCAUGAUCUGACUUUUAAAACCCAGACCAUGGACCCUCCUAAUAAAUUAUUUAAACGUAAUGACGGUACCGCCACUCCUGCUAGACGGGAUGACUUUGAGGCUUUUAAACGGUGGUGUGAAGAAACAAACAAGAAAUUUGACAAUAUUCUUGCAAGACUUAAUAGUAUGCCUGCAUCAACAUCUGCAACAUCUACAAAACCUUGUCCAACUCAUUCUGAGCCUGUUGUUACUGAUGCUAACUGUACAGACGCUGCUGCUGCUGGUGAUUUCUGAUGCACAACCUAGCGGGGUUACCUCUGCUGCUGCUGUUGCUAUUGAGACUGUUACUGCUUCUGCUAAUGCUUUUGCCUCACCAGCUCACAGCUGUGCACCCGUCACACUUAGAAGUCAAAGUACACAUUAGCCAUACUUAGAAAAAACAUGUUUUAUUUCAUUUAGAAGUGAGAUUCUAAGUUGUAAGAAGAAAUCUUAUGCUCA